rnacentral:rRNA from 1 species
UACGGAGGGUGCAAGCGUUGCUCGGAAUUAUUGGGCGUAAAGGGUAGGUAGGUGGUCUCAUUUGUCUGGGGUGAAAGCCUUGAGCUUAACUCAAGAAGUGCCCCAGAAACGGUGAGACUCGAGUCCUGGAGAGGGUCGUGGAAUUCCCGGUGUAGCGGUGAAAUGCGUAGAGAUCGGGAGGAACACCAGAGGCGAAGGCGGCGACCUGGACAGGUACUGACGCUCAACUACGAAAGCGUGGGGAGCAAACAGG